rnacentral:rRNA from 1 species
GACGAACCGUGCGAACGUUGUUCGGAAUCACUGGGUUUAAAGGGCGCGUAGGCGGGCUGUCAAGUCGGUGGUGAAAUCGUUCCGCUCAACGGGACAAUGGCCCUUCGAUACUGGCGGCCUGGAGGGAGGUAGGGCAUGCGGAACUUCCGGUGGAGCGGUGAAAUGCGUAGAUAUCGGAAGGAACACCGAUGGCGAAAGCAGCGUGCUGGACCUUUUCUGACGCUGAGGCGCGAAAGCCAGGGGAGCAAACGGGAUAGAGUACCC